rnacentral:rRNA from 1 species
UACGUAGGCAGCGAGCGUUGUUCGGAGUUACUGGGCGUAAAGCGUGCGUAGGCGGUGGUCCAAGUCUGGUGUGAAAUCUCCCGGCUCAACUGGGAGGGUGCGCCGGAAACUGGGCCGCUGGAGUAUGGGAGAGGCAAGCGGAAUUCCAGGUGUAGCGGUGAAAUGCGUAGAUAUCUGGAGGAACACCCGUGGUGCAGACGGCUUGCUGGACCAUGACUGACGCCGAGGCACGAAAGCGUGGGUAGCAAACAGG